rnacentral:rRNA from 1 species
UCAACUUGAGAGUUUGAUCCUGGCUCAGAACGAACGCUGGCGGCAGGCCUAACACAUGCAAGUCGAGCGAGAUCUUCGGAUCUAGCGGCGGACGGGUGAGUAACGCGUGGGAACGUACCCUCUUCUGCGGGAUAGCCACUGGAAACGGUGAGUAAUACCGCAUACGCCCUUCGGGGGAAAGAUUUAUCGGAGGAGGAUCGGCCCGCGUUGGAUUAGGUAGUUGGUGGGGUAAUGGCCUACCAAGCCUACGAUCCAUAGCUGGUUUUAGAGGAUGAUCAGCCACACUGGGACUGAGACACGGCCCAGACUCCUACGGGAGGCAGCAGUGGGGAAUCUUAGAC